rnacentral:lncRNA from 1 species
AAACACUGCACUGUACCAGUAAAUAAAACCCUUAGCUUCACAGUGCACAAAAUUUCCAUGCACUAUUUAAACCCCUACACCAUAACAGGCUCGAAGAUCAUAAUCUUCAAUGAUCAAGUAUUGCUCUUGUAUGGACAAACACCGAAUGAUUCAUGUACCUUCCAAAUCAACCACUUAAGAAUAAUAGUGAAUGCAAACAUAAUAAAACGAGAGAGACUACAACCAUUCGAAAAAGUAAUCUACCGCCAUUGCCUCCACAACACUACAGACAUCCAUAGCAAGCAAGUUUCCACUGCAAAUGCCGAAGGCACAACUCUACACAACUCUACAAAUGCCAAAGCCUCUCAUACUCAUAGUGCCUGUUUACAAGAACUCCCACUCCAAAAGUUUAGCCAGAAAAAUAAUUGUGAAGAAAAUAACGAAUGUAAAGAUAAUAGAACCUAAAGUUUCCCUGGAUAUCCAACCACUGCUUCCCAAACCUAUCCACCACCCACUAUUUGCACACCCUGCACCCACUUCAUUUUAGUUUCCCUGCAAAGCCCAUGCAUACAAAAAAAAUAUAAUUAAUCUGGGUAGAAGAUGAAGGAGCUAAUCAAUAAGAUAAAAACAGGAAUUAAAAUUCCAAAGGAGAUAUUCCCAAAACAGGCUCGGUGAUCAUAAUGUUCAGCAUUACUGAUCUUGCACCAUGGCCGGAACAUGUACCUUACUACAACCAAUAAAAGAGACUUUUCCAACUCGACAGACAAAAGGCCCAAACAACUACAACCAAUAAAAGAGACUAAAGUCCUUCCAACUCGAGCAGAUAAAAAAUAGUAAAUGAGAACGUAAUAAAACAUGAAGCUUUGAAGUAAGUUAAAUAAUCUAAACCUACUGUAUCCAGAUCCAAUAUACAUCUUCUUCACUGCAACAUGAGCAGAAGAGCAUAGUCAAAAUCAACAGCCAACUGUCACAACACAAAUGUCAAAGCCUCUCACUCAUAGAGUGCCUAUUUACAAAUCUCCCACUCCACAAUUUUAACAUGACAAAUAACGUCAAUGAAAAUAGUCAAUGAAAAUAGUGAGUUCAAAGAAAACGAAUUCAAAGAUAAUAAAACCUUACGUUCAACAUAUCUCCAUCCACUGCUACCUAAACUUGCCCACCACCCACCAUUUGCUCACCCUGCACCCAUUUCAAUUCUUCUUUUCCUGUAAACUCAUUAAUCCAAGAAAACAAUAAUCAAUAUGGGUAGAAGAUAAAGGGUCACCCAUCCAUUAAAAAAACAAUAAUCAAUUUGGAUAGAAGACGAAGGACCAACACCAUAAGAUGAAUAAACAAAUUCAGGAACCAAAAAACUAAUUGAGAAACUUCCAUAGCAGGCUCGAUCUUCAUAAUCUUAAGCAAUCAAGUAUUGCUAUAAUUAAUCUGGGUAGAAGAUGAAGGACCUAGAAGAUAAGAUGAAUAAUGUCCAGCAAUCAAGUAUCGCUCUUGUUUUAACAAAGACCAUGCCCAAAACAUGUACCUUCCUAAAACAAAUAAGAGAGACUAAAGCCACUCGGGCACACAAGAAAACAAGUAAAUGACUCUUCAAUGCAAAAGGAGUGGGAGAAGAUGAUCAAAAUCAACGGAGUCAAUGGUCAAACAACCCAAACGACAAAGCCUCCACUCAGAGUGCCUACUUUCAGGAUCUCCCACUCCAAAAGUCAGAGCCAAAUGUCAAAGGCUCUCACUCAUAGAGUGCCUACUAUCAUGAUCUCCCGCUCCAAAACAUAGACCCAAAUACCGAAGCCUCAAACUCAUAGAAUGCGUACAUUAAAGAUCUCCCACUCGAAAAGUUUAGUUUGAAGACCGAAACCAGCCCACCACCCACCAUUUGCAAACCCCUGCACACAUUUCAUUUCUUUGUUUCCGUGUAAAGCCCAUCAAUUCAAGAAAACAAUAAUCAAUUUGGGUAGAAGAUGAAGAACUAAGACCCCAUCCAUUCAAGAAAUUUGGGUAAAUGAUGAAAGACCCAAGCCCAUAAGAUGAAUAAACAAAUUCAAAAACAAAAAUACUAAUUGAGAAACUUCCAUAGUAGGUUCGAUCAUCAUAAGGUUCAGCGAUCAAGUAUUACUCAUGCUUAGAUAAACACCAUGGCUGACACAUGAACGUUCCUACAACCAAUACGUUUUUUCAUGUAAAGCCCACGUAUUCAAUAAAACUACAAUUAAUCUGGGCAGAAGAUGAAAGACCUAGAUGACAAGACGAAUAAACAAAUUAAAGAAUUAAAAAAACAAUGGAUAAAUUUCCAUAACAGAUUCUUUGACCAUAUUUUUCCAGUGAGCGUGUACCUUCCUACAACCUACAACCAAUAAGAGAGACUAAAGCCACUUAAGCAAACUAGAAUAAUCGUAAAUGAGAAUGUAAUUAAACAUAAAGCUUUGCAGUAAUUUAAAUAAUCUACACCUNCUGCAUGCACGAUCCAAUAAACAUCCUCUUCACNGCAAGAGGAGUAGAAGAAGAUAAUCAAAAUCAACAGAGCCAACAGAUCAACAACCCAAAUGUCAAAGCCUCUCACUUAUAGAGUGCAUACUUUAAAGAUCUCCCAUUCCACAAGUUUAGUUUGAAAAAUAACAGCAAUGAAAUUAACGAAUGCAAAGANAAUAAAACAAAGGGAUAAUAAAACAAAGGGUUACACCGGAGCUCCANCCAUUGUUACCAUCCACUGUUUCUGAAGCUGCNCACCACCCACCAUUUGCAUACCCUGCAAUCACUUGAUUUCUUAGUUUUCUUGUAAAGCCCAUCGAUCAGAUGAAGGACCUAGAUGAUAUGAUAAAUAAACAAAUACAAUAAUUAAAAAACCAAUGGAGAAAUUUCCAAACAAGCUCGAUCAUGUUAAUGUUCCAGCGAUCAAUUAUUGCUCUUGUAUAGACAAACCCCAUGGCCGAAACAUGUACCUCCCUACAACAAACAAGAGAGACUAAAGCCAAUCCACCUAGAACAGACAAGAAAAAUAGUACAUCAGAAUCAAAGAAAACAUAAAGCUCUAUGGUAAGUUAAAUAACCUACAACUACUGCGCCCACGAUCCAAUAGACAUCUUCAUUGCAAGAUGAGUAGAAGAAGAUUAAUCAAAAUCAACAGCCAAAGGUCCAACGAGACUAUCACUCAUAGAGUGCCUACUUUCAAGAUCUACCACUCCAAGUUUAGUUUGAAGAAUAACGGCAAUCAAAAUAAUAAAUUAAAAAAUAAUAAAACCUAAGGUUCACCAGAUUUCCACUCAAAAAUAAUAAAACCUAAGAAUCACCGGAUUUCCAUCCACCAUUACCGCAACCUGCCCACCACCCAUCAUUUACACACCCUGCACACAUUUCAUUUCUUAGUUUCCGUGUAAAGCCCAUCAAUUCAAGAAAACAAUAAUCAAUUUGGAUAGAAGAUGAAGGAUCUCGAUCAAAUCCAUUCAAGAAAUUUGGGUAGAAGAUGAAAGACCCAAGACCAUAAUAUGAAUAAACAAAUUAGCGAAUAUUAAUUGAGAAACUUCCUUAGUAGGCUCGAUCAAGUAUUGCUCAGCCUUACACAAACACCAUGACUGACACAUGUACCUUUCUACAACCAAUACGUUUUCAUGUAAAGCCCAUGUAUUCAAUAAAACUAUAAUUAAUCUGGGUAGAAGAUGAAGGACCUAGAUGAUAAGAUGAAUAACCAAAAUAAAGAAUUAAAAACCCAAUGGAGAAAUUUCCAUAACAGAUUCUCUGACCACAAUUGUCCAUUUAGCAUGUACCUUCCUACAACCAAUAAGAGAGACAAAAGCCACUUGAGCAGACUAGAAUAAUAGUAAAUGAGAAUGUAAUAAAACAUAAAGCUUUCGAGUAAGUUAAAUAAUCUACACCUAUUGCAUGCAUGAUCCAAUAGACAUCCUCUUCACUGCAAGAAGAGUAGAAGAAGAUAAUCAAAAUCAACAGAGCCAACAGUCCAACAACCCAAAUGUCAAAGCCUCUCACUUAUAGUGCCUACUUUAAAGAUCUCCCAUUCCACAAGUUUAGUUUGAAAAAUAACGAUUAUAGAGAUAACCAAUGCAAAGAUAAUAAAACAAAGGGUCAC